rnacentral:rRNA from 1 species
GAUGAACGCUGGCGGCGUGCCUAAUACAUGCAAGUCGAGCGAACGGACGAGAAGCUUGCUUCUCUGAUGUUAGCGGCGGACGGGUGAGUAACACGUGGAUAACCUACCUAUAAGACUGGGAUAACUUCGGGAAACCGGAGCUAAUACCGGAUAAUAUUUUGAACCGCAUGGUUCAAAAGUGAAAGACGGUCUUGCUGUCACUUAUAGACGGAUCCGCGCUGCAUUAGCUAGUUGGUAAGGUAACGGCUUACCAAGGCAACGAUGCAUAGCCGACCUGAGAGGGUGAACGGCCACACUGGAACUGAGACACGGUCCAGACUCCUACGGGAGGCAGCAGUAGGGAAGCGUCCGCAAUGGGCGGAAGCCUGACGGAGCAAUGCCAGGUGGGUGAUGAAAGUCUUCGGGUCGUAAAACUCUGUUAUUAGGGAAGAACAUAUGUGUAAAUAACUGAGCACAUCGUGACGGUAGCUAAUCAGAAAGCCACGGCUAACUACGUG